rnacentral:rRNA from 1 species
UUAAAUUGAAGAGUUUGAUCAUGGCUCAGAUUGAACGCUGGCGGCAGGCCUAACACAUGCAAGUCGAACGGUAACAGGAAACAGCUUGCUGUUUCGCUGACGAGUGGCGGACGGGUGAGUAAUGUCU